UCUUGGUCAUUUUAGAGGAAGUAAAAGUCGUAACAAGGUUUCCGUAGGUGAACCUGCGGAAGGAUCAUUAUUGAAUAAACUUGCAGGCUGUUUUGCUGGCCCUCUGGGGCAUGUGCACGCUUGUCAUUUUUAUUUCUUCCACUGUGCACAUAUUGUAGAUCUGGUUAUUUUGGAAUUGUUCGAGUGAAAUCGAAUAGAUUGAGGACUGCUGUGCUUCAGCUUUGCCUUGUAUUUCCAGGUCUAUGUUAUUUCAUUAUUAAAAUCCUCUGUUUGAGAAUGUUGAAAUUGGGUCUUUUGUACCUAUAAAGUUAAAUAUACAACUUUCAGCAACGGAUCUCUUGGCUCUCGCAUCGAUGAAGAACGCAGCGAAAUGCGAUAAGUAAUGUGAAUUGCAGAAUUCAGUGAAUCAUCGAAUCUUUGAACGCAUCUUGCGCUCCUUGGUAUUCCGAGGAGCAUGCCUGUUUGAGUGUCAUUAAGCUCUCAACUGCACUAGUUUUUUCUAGUUGUAGCUUGGAUGUGGGGGUUUUGUUUUUGCAGGCUUCAGAUAAUGAAGUUGGCUCCCCUAAAAUGUAUUAGUGGUCUCUGAGCAGAGAAAACGGUGUGAUAAUUAUCUAUGCCUUAGUACUUUGCAUGAAAAGAUUGUAUCGCUUCUAACACAAAGUGACUCCACUUUAUGUUUGACAAAUUUGACCUCACAUCAGGUAGGACUACCCGCUG
rnacentral:rRNA from 1 species